UAUUUCUUCACGUCAUUAUGCAGGCCGCAAGUAGGGGUGACAUGGGCCGUGAGAUUGUAAUGUAUUCCAUUACUCCCCAACACUGGUAACAGUUUUACACUUUGAAAACAAAUAAGAACGUUUUAGUUUUAGUUUUAAAAAUACAUUAACAAUUGUACCUCAAACUAAUUUAAAUCAAUCAGAUUUCACUUACAGAUAUGAAGGGACAAUAUUUUCAACAUUGUCUAUAAACACAAAAAGUGGGCCAACAGAGUCUCUGUAGAAGAAAAUUUCAUCACUUGGAGUUCAUCCAAGGAUUCUUUUGGGUAGUUUUUGGGCAGUUAUGUGACUGAUUUUAUUCAUUAAAUGUUAAUUUUAAUGGUCGGUGGGAUCAAAAGAAAGAAAAGAAAAUCAAUAAUUUCUGAUAAAGACUUUGGAUCAAAAUUAGGUUUUAAACAUCUCCUGGAGCAUCUUUGUUAUUGCAGAGCUCUCCCAUAGCUUUCAAAGACAGGCUGAGUGCCAUGUUUCUGUCUACUAAUGUGUUUGAAAAACAGUGCAUAAGUCAAAUUUUCUGAGGUUUUGAAUCACAUAUUCUCAAUAUUCUGGUAAUUACUUUUAUAACUGAGGCUAUGUCACUGUUCACUCAGAAACAGCAUCAACAUCUGGCUACAGAGUGAAUCAGCUUGAAAGAAACCACUGCACACUGUGCCACCAUGUUGGCAGUUAUGACAGUCAAAAGGACGAUGCAAAUGAUGCCGAGCAUGCAACGCACCAUGAAACAUAAUUGGAAAACUAAGAGCACAGUUACCUUCAGAGGAGUGGCAGCACACACACAUUGAGAGCAGGAGGAGCGUGAUGGAGAGGAUCUUCAGAGACAUUUUGACCGGUGGUUCGAUUCGCUGAUCAGGCUGCAACAAAAAGUUCAUCAGUGCUUGGAUAUUUAUUGGUAAGUGUAGGAAGAUUCGCAGGAAGAAGAAGUGACUGCGGGUUAUUUUAAUACGUGUUUAUCUGUGUGUGUGGCUGUAUCAUAAUCACACCUCCUCCUCUUAAUAGAGAUACUUUAAUAUUUCAAACCGCCAACAGCUCACUGAAAAGUUUCCGAGAAAUAGCCUCACAUUAGGACAUGCACAGACACGUCUUAUGGUGUACAGCCUGAUUGAGGCCAACAGUGUGUGCACCCAUUCAUCUGAGUAGAAUCCUUUUUUCUCCUCCUGUCCCCGAUGUGGUGUAUUUUCAUUGGUUUUCUUAAAACUUGCUACCUAUUCUGACCUGUCUUCCCUAUGUGAUGUUUGUGUAAUAUAUGUAUGGUCAGAAGCGGUCCAUUUUCACUGCAGGCAACUGCAAGUGACAAAUAAAGGCUUCAUUCA